GUAAUCUAAUUAAAUACCAAUUUAUGACUCCAACAAAUGAGAAGACACGGAACGAAAUGAGGCAGAAAUAAAAAUUAAGGUCAUGUGGCCUAAAUAAAAUCCUGUAGCUUAUCUACAACAGCUAUUUCAAAACAGCGGGAUGAGUCCCUGGAACAUGAAUUGGAAAGUUCAUGAAUUAACAAGAACACGGCUGCAUCUUGAACGUUUUUUCACAAAUUAUAAUACCACCAGGGCACCUGGGUGGCCCAGUAGUGGUUGAACAUCUGCCUUCAGCCCAGGGCAUGACCCCGGAGUCCUGGGAUCGAGUCCUGCAUCAGGCUCCCCCCAGGGAGCCUGCUUCUCCCUCUUCCUGUGUCUCUGCCUCUCUCUCUGGGUCUCUCAUGAAUAAAUAAAUAAAAUCUUUUUUAAAAAUUGUAAGA
rnacentral:lncRNA from 12 species